GCUGAAUGGUUGAACUAAGAAGCUCCAAAGCCCUUCCCAAAGCCAAACUUGCACCAGAAAAAGGUCAUGGUCACUGUUUGCUGGUCUGCGGACGGUCUGAUCCACUACAGCUUUCUGAAUCCCAAGGAAACCAUUGUAUCUGAGAAGUAUACUCAGCAAAUUGAUGAGAUGCAACAUAAACUGCAACACCUGCAGCUGGCAUUGGCCAACCAAAAGGGCCCAAUUCUUA